AGCUCAACGUUACAUUCGUAUCUUUAAUCUUUAACUUUUUUUGCUUUUAUUCGUGUAUACAUGUGUGUAGUGUAGACAAGCUCUCUAACGUUAUGCUUUUAUUUUAACAAAAAACUUUCUUAUUUUCUUUCAUCUCUAUACCUUUUUCAGUUUUCAUUUGCUGGGAAUGCCCAUUUAUUUUGCUCGCAUUUACAAAUGCUCCCUUUAUCUUUUAUCUAGAUUACUAACGAAUCAUGCGUGAACGUUAGUGACAAUAAUCUAAAGAGCUAUUUGUGUAUAUAGUACUUCCUCCAUUCCUAAAUGAUCCAUAUUUUAUAUUUUCAAUGUAUGUAAUAAUGGCAAAUUGUAAACUUCAAAAACAUUAAUUGUGUUUACUGAAUUUUAAUUGGUCAAAAGUCAUAGGAAAUAGCUAAACACAGCAAAUAAUACAUUUGUUAUCAAAUUUUAAGUGUUUUCUUAAUAAAUGUGAAAAUUCUAGAAAAAUGGAUUAUAUAGAAACAGAGGGAGUAUUCUUAGUUAUAUAUUUUACGCACAUUUCUAAGUUUUAGCUGCCUUGCGUGAUAACUGGCUUAUACGUUGCUAAUAAGAACAAGCAAAUGAUGUAAAAAAAGAAGAAGCAACAAAGAUUCUGCCGACACUUAAUACUCAAGGACUCAUCGUACGUGUACAAUCCAUAUACUGUGAAGAUUGAACCAUCGGCUAUACUUACCGGUCGAGUUUGAUUUUAAUAUUUUUAAAAAUAAAUUUCUCGAUGCAGUUAAGAGAAAUUAACGUUGGAUGAAACUAUUAGAAGCAUGUAAUUAACUAAUGAUACCGACAGAUCCGAGAUGAUCAUGGUCGGAUGGGUCCAAUGCUUGUAUCUAAACUAUUUGCUUAUUUUCUUUAA